rnacentral:rRNA from 1 species
CCCUUAGAUGUCCGGGGCCGCACGCGCGCUACACUGAAGGAAUCAGCGUGGCUUUCUCCCUGACCCGAAAGGGUUGGGAAACCCGUUGAAUCUCCUUCGUGAUAGGGAUUGGGGCUUGAAAUUGUUCCCCAUGAACGAGGAAUUCCCAGUAAGCGCGAGUCAUAAGCUCGCGUUGAUUACGUCCCUGCCCUUUGUACACACCGCCCGUCGCUACUACCGAUUGAACGGUUUAGUGAGGGCCUCGGAUUGGUCUCGGCCCGCUCUUGACCGGGCGGCGCCGUUGGUCGAGAAGACGCUCGAACUUGAUCGUUUAGAGGAAGUAAAAGUCGUAACA